AGUGAACGCUGGCGGUAGGCCUAACACAUGCAAGUCGAACGGCAGCACAGUAAGAGCUUGCUCUUACGGGUGGCGAGUGGCGGACGAGUGAGGAAUACAUCGGAAUCUACUUUUUCGUGGGGGAUAACGUAGGGAAACUUACGCUAAUACCGCAUACGACCUACGGGUGAAAGCAGGGGAUCUUCGGACCUUGCGCGAUUGAAUGAGCCGAUGUCGGAUUAGCUAGUUGGCGGGGUAAAGGCCCACCAAGGCGACGAUCCGUAGCUGGUCUGAGAGGAUGAUCAGCCACACUGGAACUGAGACACGGCCCAGACUCCUACGGGAGGCAGCAGUGGGGAAUAUUGGACAAUGGGCGCAAGCCUGAUCCAGCCAUACCGCGUGGGUGAAGAAGGCCUUCGGGUUGUAAAGCCCUUUUGUUGGGAAAGAAAAGCAGCAGGUUAAUACCCCGCUGUUCUGACGGUACCCAAAGAAUAAGCACCGGCUAACUUCGUG
rnacentral:rRNA from 1 species